rnacentral:rRNA from 1 species
AAUCAACGCUGGCGGCGUGCCUAACACAUGCAAGUCGAACGAGAAAGUGGAGCAAUCCAUGAGUAAAGUGGCGCACGGGUGAGUAACACGUGACUAACCUACCCUUGAGUGGGGGAUAACCUAGGGAAACCUGGGCUAAUACCGCAUAAUACCUACGGGUCAAAGGAGCAAUUCGCUUUAGGAGGGGGUCGCGGCAGAUUAGUUAGUUGGCGGGGUAAUGGCCCACCAAGACGAUGANCUGUAUCCGGCCUGAGAGGGCGCACGGACACACUGGAACUGAAACACGGUCCAGACUCCUACGGGAGGCAGCAGUGGGGAAUUUUGCGCAAUGGGGGAAACCCUGACGCAGCAACGCCGCGUGGAGGAUGAAGACCCUUGGGUCGUAAACUCCUUUCGAUCGGGACGAUAAUG